rnacentral:rRNA from 1 species
UGCUGCAGCUAACGCAUUAAGCACUCCGCCUGGGGAGUACGACCGCAAGGUUGAAACUCAAAGGAAUUGACGGGGGCCCGCACAAGCGGUGGAGCAUGUGGUUUAAUUCGAAGCAACGCGAAGAACCUUACCAGGUCUUGACAUCCUUUGACCACUCUAGAGAUAGAGCUUCCCCUUCGGGGGCAAAGUGACAGGUGGUGCAUGGUUGUCGUCAGCUCGUGUCGUGAGAUGUUGGGUUAAGUCCCGCAACGAGCGCAACCCUUAUUGUUAGUUGCCAUCAUUCAGUUGGGCACUCUAGCAAGACUGCCGGUGACAAACCGGAGGAAGGUGGGGAUGACGUCAAAUCAUCAUGCCCCUUAUGACCUGGGCUACACACGUGCU